CUUUGCAUGUUUUCUAAAAUAUCCUUGUGAAAGAUAUAAAUUCACCAAAACUCGUGGAAAUUAUCAGUAAUAACAUCCUAUUCUAUCAUAUUCAUUAUUUAUAUGAGAAAGGUUGACGGUUUAUAAUAUACUUUAACAACUAUCAACAAUGUCGUCCUUUUGGUCUUUUUCUCAAAAAAUGAUUCAAUAAGGGGUUAUUUGUAAAAAAAAGUUUUGAAAAAGGACCAGAUUGCAAAAAUUCACGAUCAGCAACCCUCAGCCCCGCAAAGGCCC
rnacentral:lncRNA from 1 species